CUUAGUUAUUACUGAAAUAAAAAAAAUUACCUAUAUAACUGCCAUGAAUGUAGAUGUCGACGUUAAUAGGAGCAUAACAUAACUAGAAUCAAGAUGUCCCAAGCCCUGAUUUUCGUGUGCACUGUAAUUGUGCUCUCAGCAGCAUUUGCCGAGGAAAACUCCAAAGACCAGAACCGUGGCAUUAAUCCUAACUAUAAUGGAAACCCAAUCCAUAACAUGAACCAAAACAACAUGAAUCCUCCUGCCACGGAUUUCAACCACAUGUACCCAAAUAUGGAUUUCAAUGCUAUGAACCCAAACCAUAAGCCUCACGGUGAAAUGCCAAAGCAACAGCAACACAAUCAUAACGCUACAAAGAUGUCAGACACUCCCAAAAUGCCUGACAUGCAUAAGAUGUCAGACACGAAAACACCCGAAAAACCAGAAAAUCCCGCCAGUGGAAAGAAUUAGAAAUAUUUUUUACAAUAUUGUGCAAUUUUAAAUCCAUGUAAAACGAAAAUAAAAUGUAUGGUCUUA